GAUAGUGUCAGAACGGAUUGAGGUAGAGCUUCUAAUGACCCCCGUGAGCACUGAGUGACCAAGCGAGGGACCAGCCGGCCUCCUCGUGCCCGUUGCUCUCUCAGGGCAGCUGGGGAUGGUGCUGUGAUCUCGAGCCAAAGGAAAUAGACCGUAGCACCAACUGGCUGACUCUGGGGGAAAACUUGAGAGCUGUUGGAAAAGCUGGAAAAGAUCCCUUCACGACCGACGAGUGGCCGCCUGAACUUUUGAUUCAGUAUCACUGCAAUGGGUGAGUCUUUCUCUGGGUUCCCUGAGUUCCUCACCUUCUCCACUCUGCUGCAGGCAAUUCUCUCUUUCUCUCUGUCUCUCUGCAAACCAGUUGUUAGAAUGGUUAAAAAUCACUCUCUCUUGCAAAGUUUUAAUUAAUGGGCAAAAGUAUUCACGAGGCCAGUCUUAAGCUGUAGCGAAUCUGGUAUACCUUGUGCUAUGAAUUUGUCUUUCUGUGUCAUUCUGUCACAAACAGUGGAAACUUAGGAUAGAACACAGGCUUAGGACCUUGUCCUUUCACAGUGGUGGCCCAGGUUCAGGGUUCAAUUCUGGGCCAAGAGAAUGAGUCCUUUCUGGUUUGAUGUCUGUGUAACUUUGGCCAUUUGUUGACUUUCUUCCCCUCCAUGAACAAUUUCUAGCUUCCUUGUAGAAUCUUCCUUUCUCUGAUCUACCUUUGGAAAGUCUAGAUUUUUUAAAAACUGCUAACCACCUCUUUGAAAAUACCUCAUACGGUCGCGGUUAAGUCAUAACCUUAAUUGAGGCUUAUUGGUUUCGCCUGUGAGGUCGGUUUUGAUAAAGCUUAGAAGCCAGAAAUAUUCAUCGUUUGGCCUGGAUAAAGUAGGGUAAUAAGAAAUUUUAAAGAUCGCCAUGUUUAAAAGUCAGCUUAAUUAAAAGCAGAUAUCUAAGCCACUCAUAUAUUUAAAAGGUCUUUACGAUUUUUUCUCUUCUUGAAUCUUCUUUUUCUGGAGAAAAAAGGUUUUUUUUCUUCUCAGUUGGCUGAAUUGCUUUUCUCUAUUUUGUCUUGCCACUCUUGAUGCACACAAGAGAGGACCUAAGAGAACUUCUAACAGCUUGGGACUCCUUGGGGAAAAUAGAGGAGGUGCCAUAGAUCCUGCUUUGGGAAAAACCUCUGUUUUCCUCAUGAAACCCCAGGAAUUGAAAGCAGAUAGAUCCCUCUCAAAAUCUAUGGCUAAAUAUACUUUUAGGGAUGGCUAAUGGUAAUUAUGGGGGACACACAGCUUUUUCCACAUUGGGAUCAGAAAAGCAUGCUCACAGCCAGCUAGAAAGUAUGGAAACGCCCCCACCCGAGCUGAGAGAGAAGACUCCCCUGGGGGAUGGGCUGAUCAGCUUUGGGUUGCUUUGCAAUCAAAUGCACAGGGAAAUCAUUGCACUGUCUUGUUCCACAGCAUUUCUCUUUUGGGGAUCCAGGAGCCAGUAUGAUAAUAGAACCCUGAAUUUUGGGGGAUCUGUUUUGCCUUCCAGCUGUGCCUGCUUAUUAGACCCUAGAAAAUAACUGCGUGCUUUCCUAGCCCUGUUCCUCCAAGGACUCCACCGUGAAGCCAGUAAUCCAAUUAAGAAACUUAAAAACUGGCAAAUGAAAAAUCUUACAACUACCGGAUCUUCUUCUGUCUUUCUGUGUAUUUAUAUUAUUGCACAUGUGAUGUUUAUAUAUGAAAGAGCUCUGAUUAAUUGGCUUAAAAAUAAUAAGUGCUUAAAUCAAAUAUUUUGUCAGAAAAGUAAAAAAUGUAAUGCUUUUUAGUUCACAUGACUUCAGUAAUCUUUGGGAAAUAGAAACAGCUAUAAAUGUUAUUGGUAAAAUAAAGACAUUUGGUCUAAAUUAGGCAAGUCAGAUAUUAGGUUUACUAAAUACUUUAAGGUCAUAAACUGCUUUGACUUUUGAAAAGUGUUCGACUGAACUGCUUCAGAGCUAUUAGAUUCUAAAUAAUGCCUGGGGACAUGUGGAGUUACCCAUGCCCCCGGCUAUGCUGGAAAGAGUCAGACUUUAUCUGCACUUCUGUCUGGUGUUCCAGGUUCCAGACCUGGUACAUAAUCAGAAUCGCUCACUUAUCGGGUUUUUCACCAAAAAUAAAACUUGCUAAGUGAGGCCGGGUGUGGUGGCUCACGCCUAUAAUCCCAGCACUUUGGGAGGCCGAGGCUGGCAGAUCACCUGAGGUCAGGAGUUUGAGACCAGCCUGGCCAACACAGCGAAACCCCGUCUCUACUAAAAAUACAAAACUUAGCCAGGAGUGGUGUGAGUGCCUGUAAUCCCAGCUGCUCGAAAGGCUGAGGCAGGAGAACUACUUGAACCUGGGAGAUGGAGGUUGCAGUGAGCCAAGAUCAUGCCACUGCACUCCAGUCUGGGUGACAGAGCAAGACUCCAUCUCCAAAAUAUAAUUAAAAAAAAAAAGUUGCUAAGUGUUAACAUUGUAACAUAUAAUUGAGACUACUGAAGGAACAGUUUGACAUGCAGAGGGUAUAAAGAAAGUGAAAUGUGUUUUUAGUAAAAGAUCAUAAGAAGUCAUGGGAAUGUGGAUAUUUUUGCCUAGAUUAAAGGGUUACAGGAUUGUUUUAAGUUAGAUAAGGAUAAAGCUGAAGGUUUAAGCAAGUUGUGGAAGGUUUGUGAAAAGUUAAUCUUGUAAAAGUAACUCUGUGUGUGAACUUAUUAAUUAAAGUUAAAGGGGUUUUAUUCAGUUUUUCCAUAAAUUACAUAUUGGAAUAAAAGCUCAACAGGGUUUUCUUAGAGCACCGCUCUGCUCUUUAACAAAAAUUUGUAAAGGGUUAUAAAGGGUUUAUGAGAAUCUCACCUUAUGAUCAAACUGAUUAAGAUUAAAUAGAUUUGUCUAUAAGAUUUUAUUAAAGAUUGGGGUUGACAUUAAUAGUACACUAAUUCAAGGGUGAAACUUGGCUUUUUCUCUUGAACAAGAUUUUCAUGUAAUAUUAAACGAUAACGAAAGAUUUUACUUUGCCUUUUGAAUAAACUACCAAAUAAAGAAGGGAAAAACAAGAGACAGAUUGUUUGGAAAGCUAAGUCUUCCCUCUAUGAAUGAGUGAAGAUUUUUGCCUUUUUAAAACUUUCGAGUUGGUAUUUUGACUAAAUGAAUGAUUUAUGGUGACCUAGAAUUCUAUUUCAUAAUAUCAAGUGUUUCAAACCAUUAACAUAUUUUAUAGGUGAAACCACCAUUGCUAAAUUGUCACUGAGAUAGUGAAAGAGAUCUGACCUAACCGACUCCAUCUUGCUUCUAAUCUCCAAGCAGUCCUUUUUCAUUCCUGGGUGUAGGCUGAACUAUCUUUGGGAGAAACUUCGUUUAUAGUUUAUAGUUUAAAACAAAGAUGGUAACAGUCCUUUCCCAAAACAGAUCCCCUUCUUGCCUGGGGACUAGACUGCCCUUAUAGGACUAACAAAUUAGCCACAGAUUAGAGAUUAUGGUUUAGGAGUUAUGCGGCUGGAGGCUACAAGAUUCUGACCCUUCCUAAACUGCUCCUAAAAUCAGUGCUUGAGAUAUUUUGCAGACCCUGCACUUGAUGGAUCAGCUGACACCAUCCAGAUUGACAAACUGGCUUAUCUGGUUGUGGUCCCCACCCAGGAGCUGACCCAGCACAAGAAGACAGCUUCAACUCCCUAUGAUUUCACCUGGGACCUGACCAACCAGCAUUCACAGUUCACUGGCUUCCCCCGACUCACCAAGUUGGUCUUAAAAAUUCUGAUCCCCAAAUGCUCAGGAAGACUGACUUGAGUAAUAAUAAAAUUCUGGUC